rnacentral:rRNA from 1 species
GACGAACGCUGGCGGCGUGCUUAACACAUGCAAGUCGAACGGAAAGGCCCUGCUUUUGUGGGGUGCUCGAGUGGCGAACGGGUGAGUAACACGUGAGUAACCUGCCCUUGACUUUGGGAUAACUUCAGGAAACUGGGGCUAAUACCGGAUAGGAGCUCCUGCUGCAUGGUGGGGGUUGGAAAGUUUCGGCGGUUGGGGAUGGACUCGCGGCUUAUCAGCUUGUUGGUGGGGUAGUGGCUUACCAAGGCUUUGACGGGUAGCCGGCCUGAGAGGGUGACCGGGCACAGUGGGGGAGGAGUGAGGGCCCGGGUCCCGCGGGGGGGAGGAGGGGGGGAAGAUGGAACAGGGGCGGAGGGCUGAAGCCAGCAACGCCGCGGGGGGAAGGCGGCCGUUGGGUUUGAAACCGGCUUCCGCUGGUAACCAGGGGGGGGGCAGGGAAGUGGGAAAGAAAACACCGCAUAACAACGU